rnacentral:lncRNA from 1 species
CCCACAACCCCCCCCACCGCCCCCCGACCCCCUCUCUCCCCUCAGGUGAAGGCUGAGGACCCCCCGGAGCCGCCCCCCCACCUCCCCCCCACCCCACUGAUGUUGGGGGGAAACCAGCUGGGGUUGGCGGCGCUGCUCCCGGCCCCACAGCAGCUCCUGUUGCAGCAGCAGCUCCUGGCGGCCGCCGUCCAUCACCGCUCCUCCGCCACCCCGAAUGUCCCCCCCACCCCAAAUGUCCCCAACGCCCCCAUUGACCCCAAUGUCCCCAACGCCGUCCCCACCACCGCCGCCGCCGCCGCCCCCACCGAGGGGGGGUCCACAGCGCUGCCCCUCUCCCACCCCAUCCAGCUGACGGCGCAGGACCUGCAGCAGCUCCUGCAGCUCCAGCAGCUGGUUUUGGUGCCCGGCCCCCACGCGCUGCCGCCGUCCGCUCCGUUCCUGCUGCCCCCGACCCCACAGGGACAGCAAGGGCUGCUGCCCACCCCCAACCUCUUUCAGCUACCUCAGCCGACCGGGGGGCUGCUGCCCGCCCCCCCCCGCGCGGGGCUGCCCCAGCAGGUAGGGAC